GAAUUCGCCCUUAGAGUUUGAUCCUGGCUCAGGAUGAACGCUGGCGGCGUGCCUAACACAUGCAAGUCGAACGGAGUUCUUAAGGAAUGCGACUUCGGUCAAAUGACUUUUGAACUUAGUGGCGGACGGGUGAGUAACGCGUGAGCAACCUGCCUUUCAGAGGGGGAUAACAUUUGGAAACAGAUGCUAAUACCGCAUAAGAUUACAGUACCGCAUGAUACAGUGAUCAAAGGAGCAAUCCGCUGAAAGAUGGGCUCGCGUCCGAUUAGAUAGUUGGUGAGGUAACGGCUCACCAAGUCGACGAUCGGUAGCCGGACUGAGAGGUUGAACGGCCACAUUGGGACUGAGACACGGCCCAGACUCCUACGGGAGGCAGCAGUGGGGAAUAUUGCACAAUGGGCGAAAGCCUGAUGCAGCAACGCCGCGUGAGGGAAGACGGUUUUCGGAUUGUAAACCUCUGUUUUCGGUGACGAACAAAUGACGGUAACCGAGUAGGAAGCCACGGCUAACUACGUGCCAGCAGCCGCGGUAAUACGUAGGUGGCAAGCGUUAUCCGGAAUUACUGGGUGUAAAGGGAGCGCAGGCGGGAUAGCAAGUCAGUUGUGAAAACUAUGGGCUCAACCCAUAAACUGCAGUUGAAACUGUUAUUCUUGAGUGGAGUAGAGGCAAGCGGAAUUCCGAGUGUAGCGGUGAAAUGCGUAGAUAUUCGGAGGAACACCACUGGCGAAGGCGGCUUUCUGGGCUUUAACUGACGCUGAGGCUCGAAAGUGUGGGGAGCAAACAGGAUUAGAUACCCUGGUAGUCCACACUGUAAAC
rnacentral:rRNA from 1 species